GGUGUGCCAGAUUGCUCGGCCUUCUUCCUUCUGCUUCUGAUUGCCCGAGGUGAUGACAUCGACAGUGUUGACAUCAUGGACAUGGGGUUGUGGUUUGUCAACUAUUUCCAGGCCAAUAGUUUAUAACUAUUGCCCAUCUGUUCUAUUGAGAAUCAUCUAAUCCUAUUGAUGCAACGAGUCGUAGGGGAGCCACGAGUUCACCGAAGCUUUCAAAUUUUGCCCACUCACUCAUUGAUUGGCAUGUGGUUUUUCAAGCUUUUGCAACCACUUUGGGUCUGGCAAAGGUUAUAAUCUUAAUCGACAAGAUGCAAAACGAGGAGUCAAUCAUCACCGAGCUCUACAUCCCGAGAAAAUGAACAAUGUGAUUUCACUCGAUUGAACCAAAUUGAUUUGUUAUUUCCCCAUUUGAAGUUGAAGAGUCGGAUUGGUGUGAAGCAAUUGAGAGGCACAUACCGUCUUCUAACUGGCAUGUUGCUCCGUCGCAUCAAAGAGGGCUUAUUUAAGCUUGGGUUUCUUGGCAGUGGCUUUCUCCAUUGACCUCUACACCUUCGUCUCUCCUCGAUUUCCCACUUCCUCCGGUGCAAUCUCUUUUUCUUUCUAAUCUCUUUUGAGUUUCUUUCAAUAUGUCACUUUAUAUAAUUUAUUCUUUAAUGUCAGAUUUGGUGAGUUUGAUUUGGGUUUGUGAAUGUCUUCUUGGCUUUUCUACUUUGGAUUCACACAAUAAGUUCAAUGGUUGUAAACAGAACAGAAUACUGACUUGCGAGCAAGGCAAUUCAAAGCUUGAAAAUUUGUAUGUUAUGCAUGAGCUGACUAAUAUUUUUUUGUGCACUUUAUUCAUGCCUGUUGUGGAUAAUAGCUUGAAAAUUUGUAUGUAUUGCAUGAGCUGACUAAUACUUUGUAGUGCACCUUUCUAUGCAAAUUAUUCAUGCCUGUUGUGGAUAAUAGUUCCAAAACCUGUAGCGAAGCGUGGGCAAUUUUUCCAGUGUUAUCUAUUUAACUAGUUUUUUAUAAGCGCGCAUAAGAAUGACUAAUUAAUAAAUUCAUGUGUUUUGUCAGAAUUGGUACAUUUACUUAAUACAUCUAUUAUUUAACGGUUAUAUAUCAUCACUAGUGCUGCAGCAUACAUCGAAGACGUACAAAACACUGAUGGAUCAACAUACAAAACACUGAUGGAUCAAGCAGGGGAAUAUAAAAGCGAUAGCCCUUGGUUAAUAAGUACUAGGAAGUAGUAGCUGCAGGUCACUCAUCCUUUCUGUUUUUUUACCUCAUGGCAGGAAGUGGUAGGAGUUUUCUCGAGGAAUUGCUACUACGCGGCAUUCAGGAAUACUUUUCCAAUUUGGGCUCUUGCAGAAUACUGCAAUAUAUUACAAAAAUGGAAGUAAAGGUUAACAAAAGGCUAAGCACUUGCAGUAAGCACACCGUUAAAUAGAAGAAGUAGAAUAAACCCUUCAGGUUCUGUAAGAGUAAAAAGUCGGCAUCGAAUGAAGAUUCAUAUAGUGUGAAAUGGAAUUUGGUUAUAUAUUUAAUCACUGCCCAUUUCUUACGGCGUUUCAAUGGGGAGUGAAUCAAGUUGGAGAGCAGAAAGUACUAAAAUGUAACAGAUUUUCAAGGAAGCCUCAUAUUCCUUUAGUUUGUAUGAGGCAAUGAAACCAGCGUGCGAUAUUCUCCAAGAGCCCACAAUGGGAAGAUGUUUCUGUAUGCUGCAUAGUGCAACAUAGCAUUCCUCAUAAAAACUCCCAUCAGUUCCUGUUGUGGGAAAUCGCCAUCAUCCAAUU